GGUGAAGAUGGGGCUGUAGGAGCCCCACCCGGCGGUAAACCGGGCGUCCUCGUGACACAGGGGGUUCGACUCCCUCCUUCACCA
rnacentral:tRNA from 1 species